CGCUAAGAAGCUAAACCGGGUAACAGCGUUAGCCUUUUAAGCUAGAGAUUGGUGGCUCCCAACCACCCUUAGCAG
rnacentral:tRNA from 1 species